AAAAGUCAAUUGCCGAGAUUGGUUCCCAUCUACUUUCGGCUUCACCGAAAUACCAUCAAACAACUUCCGAAACCACCGCGAAAAACAUCGUCUCAUAGUUUGCAGUACCCUCUUCGCAUCCGGUUUGUAAAUUCUGAAAACCGUCAGUAAACGGAGAGUAGGUAGAUCGUGAGGAUACCCACUAGUGUUCUUGUUCGUGUGCGUAAUUUGUGAGGCUUGCUUAUCAAGGUAUGCGUGGCACGUCCUGAGCGACCGUUUCACAACAACUAGUAGCAAGUUAUUAAUAACGUAAAUCACCUAAAGACAAUCAGUUGGGUUUUAUUUAAUUCAGUUUGUAACUAUAUUUUGGGUAGUUGGUUUAAGUUAUUUAAUUAUGACAAUGUUGGUUUAUUUAUAAAGGUUGGAUUAUUGAUGGAUAAUAUAGCCUUACAUUUGGGUUGUAACCUAAAUGUGGCGGUAAUACCCUUAAUUUAUUAUUUUAUGCUUCCGCUAUAAGACCUAAACAGGUAUGGAAAUUGGG